CCCAGCCCUAGGUUGGUUCUUGAGUCCCACUUAACCAUGACUCCUACACCAGUGGCACCACGGAUGUCUGCAGAAAGAGAAACCAGAUGUUCUCCAAAAAAGGAACCAGAUGUGUGGAAUCAAGGGUCUUGGUGUUCACACCAGGGGACUUACAAAUGGUCAUGAGUGUUGCGACUUUCCUGAGUUCAGUUUCCUUCUUCUCAAAGUGGACCAUGAUGGAGCAACCUGUACUGUUCAGGGAGAGAAGGCAAGGGUUCCCUGAAGCAAAAGAGCUUCGGCAGCUGCUGGGAUCAUCCCUCAGUUCCUCCCUUUACUCACAGGAACAGCUCCUCCGGUUUAACACAAGGCAACCUCUCCUAACUCUUCAGCAGUUGGCUCUCAGCAGUUCACCUUACAUCCUCAGCAUGGAAGUGGGGUUCCUUAGAAAGCCAGGACUACCCCCAGGUGGAGAGCUUUCUUGGCCAAAUUUUCUGCCAAAAGCUCCAUCUGUUGCCAAAAGCUUGGUGCUUAUCCCCGAUGCCAAUCCAGUAACAAGGAUAUGGUUUUGGGGGGAAAAAAAGAAAAGAAAAAGAAGGUUUAUUGCUUUACUAGCAAAGAAGAAACACAAGGGACUCCUGUUCCAAAAGCUGUGAUUCUGCCCAUCCACAGGAG
rnacentral:lncRNA from 1 species